rnacentral:lncRNA from 1 species
UUUCAUUUUUAAGUCUCCCAAACAAAGUUUGGAGACUUAUUGUUUUUGGUCAGUUCUUAUUAUUUUUAUUAUUCUUCUUCUUCCUCUUCUUCCUCUUCUUCCGCCACUUUAAAAAUGAACUUGUCCGCAGCGGUUCUCCUAAAUGGCUUGUCAGAUUUACUUAGGAUUUUACAAUAUGUUAGACUAACAUGUCUAGGUGAGCCAUCAAUCUUUCG